CUCUCUGCUUCCCAGCCACCGCAAGCUGAGCAGUAACCUUGCCACCCACAUUCGACAGGAUGUACAGAGCCACUGCAGGCCCCAAGUAAAGGAAGACGUGAAGUAGGCAUGGACUGAAACCUCCGAAACCGACCAAUUAUCUCUGGAUAAUGAAGAACUCGUGUGUUCACAGUGAGGAACACGUCUUUCCGGUGUGGCCCCAAAUGGAGGCAAGGAGUGGAUCAGGCUGCUGAAAGAGUUCCUAAGAGAGAUGAAGACAUGAUCCAGGCUUUUGUGGUGGAGAAAGCAGUUUCAAAGACCCGGAUGCAUACAGAACCAAACCAUUACUUAGCGUGUGGCAGGCUCUGGGCAGGAGUGGAGUAUCAUUCAGCAAUAAAGAAGGAAGAAUUGACAAAGGC
ensembl:lncRNA